AGGGGAAAGAGCAAUGGCACGCUCCAUGUUAAAGAAGAGAGUGCUAAAACCUCUCAGAAGAAUAUGGAGGUUCUUGUGUAAGCGACUAUUCAAAGCCCAUAAGAAGAAAAGUGGAAUUUAUGUUUUGUACGAGGACGUCAAAUCCUGCAAUGACGAAGAUAUUAAUGUCUUGUGGUCGAUUUUCGUGAACCUUCACAACAAUACGCAUUGUGCCGAUUCAGUCAGUGUCAGUGCCCCAUGGAAGUCAAUCCCUUGCAAGGCCUGAUGAUAAAAUAAUGUUAGUUAAUUUCAACCAUGGCUGUAAACGAUUCAUUUUUAGUUAUAGAGACCAAAUAAUAAUUGAAUUUGAUGCCUUGAUGC